rnacentral:lncRNA from 1 species
GAAUCUUUCCCCUUAUCUGGCCCUGGACAAACUCUUGUGAUGCUGUUUACUUAUCUCUCUCUCCCAUUAGAUCACAAGUUUAAUAGGGUCAGACAUCUCAUCCUGCUGUCCCCACGUCCAGUGCUGCCACAUGAUAGACGCUCUAUAAGUCGUUGUCAAAGGAAUGGAUACAUGGAUGGAUGCAUGUAUGCAUGAUUGAAUAGAUACAUGGAUGGAUAGGUGCAUGGAUGGAUAGGUGCAUGGAUGGUUGGAUAGAUGCAUGGAUGGAUAGGUGCAUGGAUGGAUGGAUAGAUGCAUGGAUGGAUAGGUGCAUGGAUGGAUGGAUAGAUGCAUGGAUGGAUAGAUAGCUAUAGAUUUAACUGUGUCACUCGUACUUUAGCACUCCUCAGUAUUGCCAAUAACUAUCAAAAUUCAGUGUGCACAAUUCGUUUUAAAGUAAAUUACACAAUAGUAAUACUGACACAUGUACAAAGAUACAUGUGCAAGAUGGCCCCUGCACUGUUGUGUAUUAUACAAAAAUAUUGGAGCAGCCUGAUGUCUGGCAGUAGGAAGAGGGAGGCCUUGAGGGCAAGGACUGUGUUUUGUUCGCUGCUCAAUCCUUAGCACCUGGACUGUGCCUGGUACAUAAUAGAGGUCAAUAAAUGUUUGUCGCAUGAAGGAAAGCGUCAUCACUGAGAUGCCAUGCAGCUGUUGAGAAGGAUGCUGGAGAUGUGUGUGUGCUAAGGUGAGAGAUGUCCACCCUAUCGUGGCAAAGCAAGUCAUAGAACAGUGUGUAAGGGAAGAGCUGACUUUUGUGAAAAAAAAAAUAGAUGUUUUUAUAUAUACAUAGGAUCUUGAGGGGCCGGCCCCGUGGCGCAGCGGUUGGGUUCCCACAUUCUGCUUCUCGGCUGCAUGGGGUUUGCCGGUUUGGCUCCCAGGUGUGGACAUGGCACCACUUGGCACACCAUACUGUGGUAGGCGUCCCACGUAUAAAGUAGAGGAAGAUGGGCACGGAUGUGAGCUCAGGGCCAGUCUUCCUCAGCAAAAAGAGGAGGAUUGGCAGCAGAUGUUAGCUCAAGGCUAAUCUUCCUCAAAAAAAAAAACAAAAGAAGAAGAAGAAGAAUCUUGAGGGAUACACCCUAAACUGUUACCAGGGGGUUCCAUCUGAGGAGAAGGUUUGGAGG